AUGCAUGCAAACCCGGUAUGGGAUAUUUUGUGGAAGUUACAAAUUCCAAGCAAGGUGAAAAUUUUCGCCUGGCGUGCUUUACAUGGUAUUGUCCCAGGGAUGUCGAUCUUGGCAAACAGACACAUCAAGGUACAGCCUCAAUGCCCAGUAUGCAAGCAAGGGGCGGAAGAUAUGCGACAUCUGAUGUUUACAUGUGAAAGAGCAAAAGAAGUAUGGAAGAAACUGGGGUUACAUGAAAUAAUAGGUGAAGUCAUUCAAAUUGACAGGUCAGGUAGUGUGAUCCUUGAAGAAUUACUAACGCAACCGGCGAGACAUUCACCUGUUCUUGGUAGGUUGGGAUUCCGGGAGUCUUUGGUCGUUCGGGCUUGGUAUAUAUGGUGGCAGCGACGAGAAUUUGUUAAGGGAAAAAAUGUCCAAAAUCCUUCAAAUACUGCAUUCGCUAUCCAAGCGAUCACAAGUAACUUUUCUCGAGCUGCGGAUCAGAAGAAACCGGAUAAAGUUAUGUGGGUGAAACCUCCAAUCAAUUCUUAUAAAUUAAAUGUUGACGCCGCUUUUUUUGAAGAUGGAACGGGUGCAGCUGCAGCAAUUCUUCGAAACAACCGAGGAGAGGCUCUUGCGGGAGCAUCCUGGUUGCUUCAUCAUCUCCUUGAUGCAACAACGGCGGAAGCAGUAGCUAUUCAGCGAGGACUAGAGUUGGUUGAAGGACUCGGCUGUCACCAGGUCAUUGUUGAAUCUGACUCAUUGGAAGUUAUUCAAGCAUGCAAUGGCGUGAUUGAGAUUUGGAGCCCCUAUACUGCUAUUUUGGCUGAUUGUUUUUAA
rnacentral:rRNA from 1 species